UUAUGUAACUGGAAGACUUUUAUUAUAUAUUAUAUUUUUUUUUUAUAUUAGACAGACAAUCAAGAUUACUCAUGUGUCCAUUGUUUUCAGGCAUAUCAUGAUUGGAAUGUUUGUUACAAUUAUUUAACAAUGGUUUAAUAAAAUAUAUAUUUAUUUGACUAUACUAAAUUUCCAUAAACCAUUACUAUAGGGAUGGUGGGAAGUAUUUAAAAUACAUAGGUUAGUGUCCAUAAUAAUUGUAACCAUCCAUUGAUUUUUUGUUGUUGUGAUUGUUGGGAUCGUCCUUUGUUCUUGUUACUUUCCCCUUUGAAGUAGCUUCAUGGUAUAAAAAACCAGCUGCAACAAAUAUUUUGAUUAUCAAAGCCAUUGUUAGAAUUUGUUAGAUUAGAUGUUGCAACAAUAAAAUAACAACGGAGUAGAUGAAAAUAAUUAUUGUUACACUUAUAAAUUUUAAAGCACGUAUACUACACUAAUUUUAGGUUCGAUUAGUUCCACCAAUAAAUGGAAAAACAAUAUAAAUCGACUUAAAUAUACUUUGAAAUCUUGUCUGGGUACAUUGCACCCCCAAUC
rnacentral:lncRNA from 1 species